CAGUAGCCGCGGGAAUACGUAGGUGGCAAGCGCUGUCCGGAAUUAUUGGGCGUAAAGGGCUCGCAGGCGGUUUCUUAAGUCUGAUGUGAAAGCCCCCGGCUCAACCGGGGAGGGUCAUUGGAAACUGGGAAACUUGAGUGCAGAAGAGGAGAGUGGAAUUCCACGUGUAGCGGUGAAAUGCGUAGAGAUGUGGAGGAACACCAGUGGCGAAGGCGACUCUCUGGUCUGUAACUGACGCUGAGGAGCGAAAGCGUGGGGAGCGAACAGGAUUAGAGACCCGUGUAGUCCCUGUCUCUUAUAC
rnacentral:rRNA from 1 species